rnacentral:ncRNA from 1 species
AAAUAAAUAUUUAUAGUUUAAAAAUUUUAUUAUAAAUUUAUUUUGCAUAUAAAUUUUUGUAUAAAUUUUUAAUUAUUUUAAUAAUAAUUAAUUAAUUAAUUAUAGUAAUUAAUAUUAAAAAUUUAAGAAAUUAAGAUUUAGUAAUAUUUAAAUUAAUAACAAAUUUUGUGCCAGCAGUUGCGGUUAAACAAAAGUUAAAUUAAAUUUUAUUAGUAAUUAAUAAAUAAUUAAUUAAUUUUGAUUAAAUUUUAAAUUAUUAAGUGAAAUUUUAAUUUAAUUAAAAUCAAUUUUAAAAUUAUAAUUUAAUAAAUUUUAUUAAUAAACUAGGAUUAGAUACCCUAUUAUAAAAAAAUUAAAAAAAUAAUACUAAAAUAGUAUAUGAUUAUUUAUUGAAACUUAAAUAAUUUGGCGGUAUUUUAGUUCAUUUAGAGGAAUCUGUUUAAUAAUUGAUAAUCCACGAAUAAAUUUACUUAAUUUAUUAUUUUGUAUAUCGUUGUUAAAAAAAUAUUUUUAAUAAAUAAAUAAUAUUUGAUAAUUUAAAAUAAAAAUUAAAUCAGAUCAAGAUGCAGAUUAUAAUUAAGAAUAUAAUGGAUUACAAUAAAUUUAUUUAUUAACUAAUAUUAUUUUGUAAUAAAUAAUUGAGGGUGGAUUUAAAUGUAAUUUUAUUAAUUUUAUUAAAAUGAUUUAAAAUUAAAAUAUGUACAUAUUGCCCGUCGCUUUCAUUAAUAAAUUGGAAUAAGUCGUAACAAAGUAGAGGUACUGGAAAGUGUUUCUAGAAAUAA